rnacentral:lncRNA from 1 species
AACACAUGGAUUCAGUUUGUUCAAUGGAUUUGACACAAAGGGUAACAGCAACACAAGAAACCUGGUCCCUGAAACUUCUCACAGUCUACAAGCAAACCCUGCAGCGAUGUCUAGAGCUAUGAACUUCAGGGAGAGCAUGCAACAUUAAUCAGAACAAUGAUAUAGCCAUACACUCAUGAACGUAACUGAGAAAGUUGAGUUUAGCUAAUUGUUACCUUGUGGAAGAAGGAAUCACUGUAUAGAUAUUUUGUUGUUUCGAACUAAGAGUAGAUAUAUAGUAUUUUACUGUUGUACACUAAGAGAAAUACUUUUUUUGGAGUUGUAGAUAUUUCUCUCCAUUGUGGUAAUGAAGUUGCAACAUAUAUAAACCUUUUAGGUUUAAUAUCUACGUGAUCUAUCUGAAACUUACAAUUACAUUUUUGCCCUGAUCCCAAGAGAUAAAUAAAUAUUCUCAAUUCCAAUUAUCAUCUCUGGUAAAUGCAUGAAUGUCAGAAGAGCAUGAUGUUUCAGAUUAUUUAGC